rnacentral:rRNA from 1 species
AUUGAACGCUGGCGGCAGGCUUAACACAUGCAAGUCGAACGAGUGGCGGACGGGUGAGUCAUGUCUGGGAAACUGCCUGAUGGAGGGGGAUAACUCCUGGAAACGGUAGCUACUACCGCAUACCCUCGGAUGUGCCCAGAGUGGAUUAGCUAGUAGGUGGGGUAACGGCUCACCUAGGCGACGAUCCCUAGCUGGUCUGAGAGGAUGACCAGCCACACUGGAAAUGAGACACGGUCCAGACUCCUACGGGAGGCAGCAGUGGGGAAUAUUGCACAAUGGGCGCAAGCCUGAUGCAGCCAUGCCGCGUGGAUGAAGAAGGCCGUCGGGUUGUAAAGAACUUUCAGCGAGGAGGCGUUACUCGCAGAAGAAGCAUCGGCUAACUCCGUGCCAGCAGCCGCGGUAAUUC